rnacentral:rRNA from 1 species
GCAAGUCGAGCGAGAUCUUCGGAUCUAGCGGCGGACGGGUGAGUAACGCGUAGGAAUCUACCUGGUAGUGGGGGACAACAUGGGGAAACCCAUGCUAAUACCGCAUACGCCCUAUGGGGGAAAGCGGGGUACCUUCGGGCCUCGCGCUAUCAGAUGAGCCUGCGUAGGAUUAGCUUGUUGGUGAGGUAAAGGCUCACCAAGGCGACGAUCCUUAGCUGGUCUGAGAGGAUGAUC